rnacentral:lncRNA from 1 species
CGAUUGAGGGGGGAAGGUACAAUUUAGAGGGAGAGAUUUCUUCGAGUUUGGGAGCGAGUUCGUGAGAGGAGAGAGCGAGCUUGCCGAGAGCGUGAGAGAAAAGUGAGAUGGGGAGAGAACGAGUCUGUUACUAUUCCAAUUUAUCUUUUCCUUGAUUUAUUUUUAAACAGAAUAAGUUUUUUUAAAACAUUAAAGGUUUUGUUUAGAAUUCUUAGGUUAUUAGUUAAUAAUUGUUUUUAUGUUUUCAACUUAUCCCCCAUUGAAAAACCCAACAGCCAAACGGCUGGGUUUAAUUACUGGUAGUCCAACAGAUUUCUUUUUUUAUUAGUUUUUUAUUUUAAUUCUUUUUAAUUUAUCUUGGUUUAUAUAUCUAAAUUAGCAUUGUAAAUAACAACUAGUCAUGAGUGGUCUGGUGGAGAGGGGUGGUUUCUAUGGUCUUUAGUGUAGUGGGUUUGAUACCCGUAUUGAGCGUUUUAUUUCUUCCAGCAUUUGCAUUUUAUUUUCUUUUAGCAUUUUAUUUUAUGUUUAUGUUUUUAUUAUACUCAUGGUUGAUCUGCUUUCUUUUAAUUUCAUCAUUCAUUCAAAACCAUUUUUAAACUAUAAAAAUCAUAUUUUUCUCGAUUUAAUAUCGAGCCCAUUUUCCACACCUUUGUAAGUCGAUUGCUUUUUAAGCAUCGCCAUCAACCUCACAUAGCUUACUCUUGGGCUUUCUUAC